UUGCCUAAGAAAAUUAUUUCCCUGGAAGAACAUAAUCCAUUUCCCACAGUGUUCAGGCUAGAAAAUUUUUCCACCAUGAGUUCCUUAAUAUUUGAGUCCCAAGAGAGACUGCGAAAGGAAAAGUCUGAGAAACUGGAUAUUUAUCACCCCUUUGGAGAUUCCCAAUGCUUCCUAAUGUAGUGAAAGCUCAGAAAAGACUUGCAGAAUGAAGUGGCUUUAACUCAAUUUAACCUAGCAUCUCCCAAGCUUAUUUGAACAUGGGACACUUUAAAAAAUGUAACCCCAUCCUGUGAAACCGGUGCCUGGUGGAAACUUUGAGGGACACAAGGAACUAUUACAUGCCCUGAGAUACAGAAGCACGCAAGACCAACAAGAUCCAUGAGCUUACAUUUGAAGGCAAAGAAAGCUGGAAAAUCUUAUGAAAUCAAUACCAGGAGGAAGGAGAAGACCUGUGAUCUGUUUCUUUCCCUUUAUGAGGAGAUGGUGUACAUGCCCAAGAAGGAGAGAAGAUAGGAGGCCAGGCACAGUAUCCUUGUGAACAUAUCUCUCCCCUGUGAGAAACCAGCCACCAUGUUGUAAGCAGCCCUGUGGCGAGACCCACAUGAGGAAGACCAGGGCUUGCCAACAUCCUCUGAAUGCACGUGGAAACAGAUCUCUGUCCCUCCCCUCAAGGCCCAGCUGUGCAUCCAAAUGAGAUCACAGCCUUUGUUGACAGCUUGACAGUCUCCUCAUGAGCCAGAGAAAUCAGCUAGUGGAAUGUAAAGAUUGUGGAUGGUCAUCCUUGACCUCGUGGACAAAGGCCAUACCUUAAGGAUGACAAAGAAAAAAGCAUGGAAGGAGCCUGUGUGCCCGACACUAUUGGCCUGCCCCUCAGGACUGGGGACCACCUUGAAUGUUUAGUAAAAUCAGGGAGACAAGGAGAAAAGAAUGAGUGUUAGAAGCAAUUUGCUGGAUGCUUCGACAAAAGCAGCAACAUGAACCCAAUUAAAAAGAAAAAGUAAGCAUAGAAUUUAUUUCUAUUCUAAUAGAUCAAAGCUAACUCCAACUUGAUUUUUUAAAAUAAAAAAUAUGUUGGUAAAGGUGUGUAAAAAUUGAAACCCUUGUUCAUUGCUGGGGAGAACAUAAAAUGAUGCAGUUGCUCUGGGAAACACUAUGGUGUUUCCUCAAAAAUUAAACAUUGAAUUAUUAUAUGAUCCAGCAAUUCCACUCCUGGUUAUACACCUCAAAUAAUUGAAAGCAGGAACUCAAACAGAUAUUUGUGCACCCAUGUUCCUAGCAUCUUUCUUUACAAUUGCCAAGUGGUAGAAAGAACCCAAAUGUCCAUCAACAGAUGAAUGAAUAAACAAAAUGUGGUGAAUACAUACAAUGAGGUAUGAAAAAAAAUGGAAUUUGGAUAUAUGCCACAACCUAAGUGAAACUUGAAGACAUUAUGCCAAGUGAAAAAGCCAGACAUAAAAUAACAAAUAUUCUAUGACUCCAUUUACUUGAGGUAUCUAAGGUAGUCAAAUUCACAGAGACUGAAAAUGAAUGGGGGGUGCCAGGGACUGAAGGGAAUGAGGAUGAAAGGUCAUCCUUUAAUGGGUAUAGAGUUUCAAUUUGGGAUUCUGGAGAGAUUGGUGGUUAUGGUUGCACAACAAUGUGAAUGGACUUAAUGUCAUUAAAUUCAACACCUAAAAUGGUUAAAAUGGCAAAUUUUAUGUUUUGUGUUAAUAUAUUUUAGCAUAAAAAAAAUUAUUUGUUUUCCCUCCCCCUAAGUAAAAUUCUAAAUCUUUGAGUAUCAUAGGCUUCUAGUUUGCAUUUAAUUUGCCUUUGUUUAUUGGAGCAUACUAGAAACUCAGGACUACAUGUACUAAUUUAACCUAUUCCUCCUUUACAAGGAGGAAUUGGGGCCUAGGUUUUGUAGUCCACUUUCAGUGGACACUUUUGGGGGAAUAUAAUAUAAAAAAUAUGUGUUACAGUAAUAAUCUCAUUAUAAUAAUGUAGCAGUUCACCAACCUAAGUAAGAAAUAAAUGUAAAUUUAUUUUUCUAUAACUAAAUUUUACUUUUGUAUGCUAAUAUUCUGGGGUCUAUAAAAACUUAAUUUCAACUUCCUUGGUCUUCUAUUUUUCUCUCUGAUUCCAUCAUAUUUCUGGGAGACUUAAACUAUGCCAAAGACCUGGAAGGAGGGGCGACAUUUGGUCUUAGCUGCCAUCUGUCCAUGAUUGUAUCCACUGAGGUGUCAUUGAACCCACCUGGUCCUUGGCCAAUGGUCUAUAAAAGUCACUGCUGAGUCAUCCUCUGCCCCUGCUCUCCAGGCCUCCUCAGGUUCAGGCUGCUGUUGCUGGUCUUUUGCUAGCCCUCGAGCAGGCACACAGUCAUCCACUUCCAAGCCACUCCAGGACCCUGGCAACCUGUGAGGCUGGCCAUUCCUGGGCACAAGGCUCUGUUUACCUAGACACACCUUUAUAGGACUCAGGCUGGAUGGUGAGAUCAGGCCACCUCCACCUCACAAUGUUACAUGGGGUUCAAACACCUCUUAGUGUGACAUACAGGAAAAGUGGUGUGGAGUCAUGGGCAUGAUGUUUACUUCUCUCUGCCCUCUUUGAUUUUGUUAAGCCCUUUAUUUCUACCAUGAAAUAUCUGCCUGGGAGACCUAAGAAGUGACACAUGAGAUAGGCAAGAAUGUUACCCAGUACUGAAGCAUAUGAAAUCCUUCUCAGACAGGCUGGGGCAAAUAACA